UCCUGCAAAAAGAUGUUCCGUUGCAAGGAAGGGGGAGAAAAGCGAAGAAUGAGAGAGAAAAGUGAUAUGUAGAUUUAUUUUGAAGGCAACGGGAGAGAGAGAGAGAGAGAGAGAGAGAGAGAGAGAGAGAGAGAGAAUCAUUAUGUCCACUGCAAAGACAGCGUUGAGUUGACAAUUAAGCAGCAACGGAGACAGAGGAGGGGGCACAUUCCUUCUGCUACCUUGUCAAGACCAUAUUUUUUACCCUGUUUUUCAUCAAUUUUAACCCCAGAUUUCUCUUCCACAGAUCCAUGGCUGCAGACAAUGCAAAAAACCCCCUUUUCAAACAAUCUUGGUGGCCGAAGCAGUUGGGGCGCCAGCAGAUUUAUGCGAGACCUCCUCCAAAUUCGAUUGAUAGCGAUCUUGUCAAGAAGGUGGAGGAGGCGCUAUACAUAAAGCUUGACCUUUGAAGCACCGUUGAUGGCAGCAAGGAAGAAGAUGAAAUGAACCAAGCCCACCUCAUUUUGUUCCCAAUAAAUUGGCAAAUAGUUUUGCCAACGUUGUUUCUGUCCUAUGUUGUCAUCUAGCGUGUGUUCUGUCUAUUUUCCCUUUAUGCUUCCAAUAAGAUACAGCAUUGCAGCGUAGAAGGUUUGCAGCAAAUGUAUGAUCGUAAGGGUGCAAUAACAAUCGGGUUACCGAUUAUAGUAAUUCCAGUGCGUUCCUUUGAGUGCAA